rnacentral:lncRNA from 1 species
CGGCCGACGCGGCGCCGGCCCGGCGGUGGGAAGUGCGUACCCCGGAGACCGCGUCUGCGUGCCAGCAGCCGCAACAGCCCCCUGAAGGGGGCCGUUUACCUGACGCCGCCGGCUCCGCGAUCGUCCAGAGACUGAAUCCCACCGCUUCCGAGCUUCGAGGGCCCACCCGUUUUACUCUAAGCGGUUUCAAGUACUCUUGAACUCUCUUCAAAGUUCUUUUUACUUUUCCUCGCGGUACUUGUGAACUAUCGGUCUCUCGGUCGUAUUUAGCC